AAAGUUUGAUCCUGGAUCACAUUGAACGCUGGCGGCAUGCUUUACACAUGCAAGUCGAACGGGAGCACGGGCUUCGGCCUGGUGGCGAGUGGCGAACGGGUGAGUAAUGCAUCGGAACGUACCCAUUUGUGGGGGAUAACUACCCGAAAGCGUGGAUAAUACCGCAUACGCCCUGAGGGGGAAAGCGGGGGAUUCUUCGGAACCUCGCGCAAAUGGAGCGGCCGAUGUCGGAUUAGCUUGUUGGUGAGGUAAAGGCUCACCAAGGCGACGAUCUGUGGCGGGUCUGAGAGGAUGAUCCGCCACACUGGGACUGAAACACGGCCCAUACUCCUACGGGAGGCAGCAGGGGGGAAUUUUGGACAAUGGGGGCAACCCUGAUCCAGCCAUGCCGCGUGAGUGAAGAAGGCCUUCGGGUUGUAAAGCUCUUUCAGCCGGGAAGAAAGCGCACUCUCUAACAUAGGGUGUGGAUGACGGCACCGGAAGAAGAAGCACCGGCUAACUACGUGCCAGCAGCCGCGGUAAUACGUAGGGNGCGAGCGUUAAUCGGAAUUACUGGGCGUAAAGGGUGCGCAGUGUGUUUUGUAAGACAGAUGUGAUAUCCCCGGGCUUAUGCUGGCAACUGCCUUUGUGACUGCAAUGCUAGAGUACGGUAGAGGGCUGUGGAAUUCCGCGUGUAGCAGUGAAAUGCGUAGAUACACGGAGGAACACCGAUGGCGAACGCAACCCCCUGGGUCCGUACUGACUCUCAUGCACGAAAGCGUGCGGAGCAAACAGGAUUACAUACCCUGGUAGUCCACGCCCUAAACGAUGUCAACUAGUCGUUCGGAGCAGCAAUGCACUGACUGACGCAGCUAACGCGUGAAGUUGACCGCCUGUGGAGUACGCAGUCAAGGUUAAAACUCAAAGGAUUUGACGGGGAUCCGCACAAGCGGUGGAUGAUGUGGAUUAAUUCGAUGCAACGCGAAAAACCUUACCUACCCUUGACAUGUCUGGAACCUUGGUGAGAACCGAGGGUGCCUUCGGGAGCCAGAACACAGGUGCUGCAUGGCUGUUGUCAGCUCGUGUCGUGAGAUGUUGGGUUAAGUCCCGCAACGAGCGCGACCCUUGUCAUUAGUUGCCAUCAUUUAGUUGGGCACUCUAAUGAGACUGCCGGUGACAAACCGGAGGAAGGUGGGGAUGACGUCAAGUCCUCAUGGCCCUUAUGGGUAGGGCUUCACACGUCAUACAAUGGUCGGUACAGGGGGUUGCCAAGCCGCGAGGCGGAGCCAAUCCCAAAAAGCCUAUCGUAGUCCGGAUCGUAGUGUCCAACUGGACUCCGUGAAGUCGGAAUAGGUAGUAAUCGCAGAUCAGCAUGCUGCGGUGAAUACGUUCCCGGGUCUUGUACACACCGCCCGUCACACCAUGGGAGUGGGUUUCACCAGAAGUAGGUAGCUUAACCCUCGGGAGGGCGCUUACCACGGUGAGAUUCAUGACUGGGGCGAAAUCGUACCAAGGUA
rnacentral:rRNA from 1 species